rnacentral:snRNA from 1 species
UGGCUUGUGGCAGCCAAG